rnacentral:rRNA from 1 species
GAUGAACGCUGGCGGCGUGCCUAACACAUGCAAGUCGAACGGUGGCGCGACAAGAUUUUGCUGUUUCUGGUUGCGAGGGGAAGGGGUGUGUAACAUGCAAGUAACCCGCCUCUUUCUUGGGGAUAACCGCAUGAAAGCUUAGCUAAUUCGGGAAUUUCUCCGACUGCUGCAUGCAGGGGGUCGUCAAGCUUUUGGUGCGGUGGUGGGCGGGCUCGGGGCGUAUUAGUUUGGUGGUGGGGUGAUGGCCUACCCAGGCGGUGACGGGUAGCCGGCCUGAGAGGGUGGACGGUCACACUGGGACUGAGACACGGCCCAGACUCCUACGGGAGGCAGCAGUGGGGAAUAUUGAACAAUGGGCGCAAGCCUGAUGCAGCGACGCCGCGUGAGGGAUGGAGUCCGUCGGGUUGUAAACCUCUUUCGCCAGUGAAGCAGGCCUGUCCCUUGUGUGGGUGGGUUGACGGUAGCUGGAUAAGAAGCGCCGGCUAACUACGUG